CGCGGGUAUAUAAAGUACAGACGCCAGGUUAAUACGGUAUAGUUUUGUAUCAGCAGCCGUACAAAGCACUUCUCAAAAUGUUCAAAUUGAUUGUCUUGGUGUUCGCCGUACUUUUCGCCGUAGCGAUGGCGGCACCCGAACCGGAAGCUAAGCCUCAGUUCUUCUACGGUGCCUACCCUUACACCUACGGAAGCGUCGCCCAUCACUUUGCCUACCCAUAUGUUCGCUAUUGGUGAUGGUAAAUUGGAACGAUGACGACUUUGAGCUUAAAUUUUGAAGGACAAUGAAUAAAGUUUGAUUGAAAUUCUA